ACCUGCACCGUCCUCCCGACUAGUUCUUAUUGAGAUAUAGUGUCACAGAGGGUUAUAACCCCGUCUGUUGGGAUCGUGUGUGCAUUCGGUCGGGUAAGUGUGAGUCGUGUUGCUUGGGACUGCAGCACUAAUCGGGAGGUAAUGUCCUUCUAAAUCUAAAUAUUACGAAGAGACCGAUAGCGAACAAGUACCGUGAGGGAAAGAUGAAAAGGAAUUUGAAAAGAAUGUGAAAAGUACGUGAAAUCGUUAGGUGAAAGCGAAUAGCAUACCCUUAGCGUGUGGCUCUCGUUUGUUACGAUCAGUUUUUCACUUUCCCAGUGUCUUCUGUUCACGCAAUCGUUUGCCAGAGGAUGAGAUCGUAGUUUUUCGGUGUCUCUCAGCGUGUCGACUUUCUUGGACUAUCGCCACGGUGAUACCCUUGAUUGUUUGCUCCUGUUUGUUCCGUUUCUGCAUCUUGACGCUAUAUUACCUGGUGUUGUUAUCCGACCCGUCUUGAAACACGGACCAAGGAGUCUAACGUAUGUGCGAGUAUUUGAGUUGUAAACUCUUCUGCGUAGAGAAAUCGACAAUUGAUAACACGUUUAGUGUUCCUCAUCGGCUGUUAGUUGAUUCUUCGGAUGAUCGCUACUCGCUUGAGCAUGUAUGUUGGGACCCGAAAGAUGGUGAACUAUGCUUGUGCAGGUUGAAGCCAGGAGAAAUCCUGGUGGAGGACCGUCGAGAUACUGACGUGCAAAUCGUUCUUCAGACAUGAGUAUAGGGGCGAAAGACUAAUCGAACCAUUUAGUAGCUGGUUCCCUUCGAAGUUUCCCUCAGGAUAGCUGGAACUUGUACGAGCCACGUGAGGUAAAGCGAAUGAUUGGAGGAUUUGGGUUUGAAACAUUCUCGGCCUACUCUCAAACUUUAAAUGUGCGUGAACAUCUGAUUGCUUAAUUGAAUCGGGUUGUAGGGUCUAAGGUUCUUAGUGGGCCAUUUUUGGUAAGCAGAACUGGCGAUGCGGGAUGCUCCGGAAGCUGGGUUAAGGUGCCUAAGUAAUCGCUCAUUCAGAUACCAUGAAAGGUGUUGGUUGAUUUAGACAGCAGGACGGUGGUCAUGGAAGUUGAAAUCCGCUAAGGAGUGUGUAACAACUCACCUGCCGAAUCAAGUAGCCCUGAAAAUGGAUGGCGCUCAAGCGAUUCACCGAUACUCAGCCAUCUGUUCUUUUGUGAUGAAUAGAUGAGUAGAAGGGCGUGAUGAUAGUGCAGAAGGUGUGGCGGUGACGUCCACUUGAACUGUCAUUAGUGCAGAUCUUGGUGUUAGUAGCAAAUACACAAAUGAAAACUUUGUGGGCCGAAGUGGAGAAAGGUUUCACGUGAAGUUUAAUGCGACGUGAGUGACCCAGUCCUAAUCGUCUCCUGAAAUGGUGAGAACUGCGCUUCUGCGCUUUUACGAGAAAGGGAAUCCGGUUAAUAUUCCGGAGGUGCAACCACGAUGUUAAGCGGUGACGCUGUAGAACCGGGUGACGCCAGCGAGGACCCUGGAAAGAGUUUUCUUUUCUUUUUAACAGAUCGUGUUUCAAUGGAAUGGGAUUAUCCCGAGAUGUUGAACCAUGUCUGGAAAAGCAGGUGACCUUCUCACCUGUCCGGUGCGUUCUCGAAGGUCCGUGAAAAGCCUGGGGAUUAUCUGCAUCAGAGUUGUAGCUGUACUCAUAACCGCAUCAGGUCUCCAAGGUGAAUAGCCUCUGGUCGAUGUGAUAAUGUAGGUAAGGGAAGUCGGCAAAUUAGGUCUGUAACUUCGGGAAAAAGACUGGCUCUUAGGACUGGACGUAUGAGGCUCGUGCUUGAACCUUGCUAAUUACACUAUUGGGCUAGCCUUUCUUCGGAUCGGCAGGCCGGACGGUUGUUUUCGGCGAGCGGAUUUCGCGAGAUGCUUCGGCGAUCUCUGCGUGUUUAACAGUUAACUGAGAACUGUCACGGACAAGGGGAAUCCGACUGUUUAAUUAAAACAAAGCAUUGUGAUGGUCGGAAACGAUGUUGACACAAUGUGAUUUCUGCCCAGUGCUCUGGAUGUCAAAGUGAUGAAAUUCAAUGAAGCGCGGGUAAACGGCGGGAGUAACUAUGACUCUCUUAAGGUAGCCAAAUGCCUCGUCAUCUAAUUAGUGACGCGCAUGAAUGGA
rnacentral:rRNA from 1 species